GAAUUUCCUGAAAACAAAACCUGUGCCUUACAUUUCAUACUCAACUCUCCCUUUAUGAUCUAGUCUGUGUCAUGACACAAAAUAAACUUAAACAGAACAGUUAUUAAUCAUGUGUUACCUCAGUUAAUGGUAACUUAAGUUACAUCAAUGUUUCCCUUUUAGCAUUUUAUAAUGUAUCAAUAUGGUCUAACCCAAAUCAACAAAGCAGAAAUUCACCCAAAGGAACAUCAGCAUCCCCAGAUUUAAGUCUUCCACUUCUCCUGUUUGUCAACCUUUUAUUUAUUUCCCCUUGGUCCAACCACUCACAUUCACUCACAUGCAUUCACACAUGAUAUUUUUGCUGAUCUGCAGCCUCCCGCACGUCAUCAGAUGCUCCACAUCAGCAAAAUGAGCUCAAUCAUUUGCAUUUGUUUCGUUUCGUUUUCCUUUUUAGGAAAAUAGUUCUCUAUACUUUUGACUGGAUUGAAUCGAUACAACCCAUUUUUAGACAGAGACUCGCCGCCAAUCAGUCUCUGAUUGUAAUCAAUUAUAAUUCCGUAAUGCCCACCUGAUUUUCGUUACUUGGUAAUUUUGUCAGCGCCGUCCAUUCACUCUCUUCCAGGCCUGCUUAGAACAAAAAUGAAAAAGAGAGCUGAUUAUUAGCUCAUCAAAGUACAAAACAAAAUCACCUGACAGGUUUUUUCCUGAGUGCACUACUUCAAGAAAUUUUUGGGGCCCCUCUCAGACAUAUCCAUGUCUUAAUUAAACACCCUCUCUGGAAAUAAAACAACGGCCUCAAAAAUCUGAAACAAUCUUAAAUUUCACCCGUUCAACACACCGAAAACCUCGUCAAAGAUCAAAGACCGUUUUCAUUCAGCACAAGAUAAAAACCAAUUUCAACAACGUAUCAUCCUUAAAUUAUAAAUUUCCUGUCCAAAUCUGCCCCUCUGAACAGACCUGACCACCGUAAUCAAAUAUCCUGAUACUUUACCAUUAUAUAUUUCUCCCCAUACUCUUCAUCAGCCCCGAUCUCUCUUGAACUGAAAGCCUCCGACACACACGCACACAGGAAGUGUCUUUGUCACUCACUCACUCCAGCUAAUUUGCAUAAACCCACAGCUCAACAGCCAACUUAACAAGAGGAAUACAUGUUUAAACCUUAUCACAUUAUUGAAUUAUUUUCAUUUUCUUUCUAUACUAAUCACUUACUUUGAUCAAUCAGUGCAAGAGCACUCCUGAGUCACUCUUAUAGAGACUUUUCUUUUGUUUUUCC
ensembl:lncRNA